GAGACAGCAGCCGCCGCGGGAAAACGUAGGUGGCAAGCGUUGUCCGGAAUUAUUGGGCGUAAAGGGCUCGCAGGCGGUUUCUUAAGUCUGAUGUGAAAGCCCCCGGCUCAACCGGGGAGGGUCAUUGGAAACUGGGAAACUUGAGUGCAGAAGAGGGGAGUGGAAUUCCACGUGUAGCGGUGAAAUGCGUAGAGAUGUGGAGGAACACCAGUGGCGAAGGCGACUCUCUGGUCUGUAACUGACGCUGAGGAGCGAAAGCGUGGGGAGCGAACAGGAUUAGAUACCCCUGUAGUCCCUGUCUCUUAUAC
rnacentral:rRNA from 1 species